rnacentral:misc_RNA from 1 species
AAGUCGUAACAAGGUUUCCGUAGGUGAACCUGCGGAAGGAUCAUUACAGAAAAAACGGCUCCGGCCAUUUUCUAACCCUUGACUACUAUCCUGUUGCUUCGGUGCUGCGGCACCGGCGCCAUUUCAAACUCAGAAACUGUUGUGUCUGAAAAACAUUUAAUAAAUCAAAACUUUCAACAACGGAUCUCUUGGUUCCC